rnacentral:rRNA from 1 species
AAAUGAAUAGACGGGGACCCGCACAAGCGGUGGAGCAUGUGGUUUAAUUCGAAGCAACGCGAAGAACCUUACCAGAUCUUGACAUCCCGAUGACCGGCAUUUAAUCAUGCCUUCCCUUCGGGGCAUCGGAGACAGGUGGUGCAUGGUUGUCGUCAGCUCGUGUCGUGAGAUGUUGGGUCAAGUCCCGCAACGAGCGCAACCCUUGCCUAUAGUAGCCAGCAGUAAGAUGGGGACUCUAUAGGGACUGCCGGGGACAACCCGGAGGAAGGUGGGGAUGACGUCAAAUCAUCAUGCCCCUUACGGUCUGGGCUACACACGUGCUACAAUGGCGUAACAGAGAGAAGCGAGCCUGCGAGGGGGAGCGAACCUCAAAAAUAACGUCCCAGUUCGGACUGCAGUCUGCAACUCGACUGCACGAAGCCGGAAUCGCUAGUAAUCGCAGAUCAGAAUGCUGCGGUGAAUACGUUCCCGGGUCUUGUACACACCGCCCGU